ACCAGGAAAUAUUAUACAUUAAAAUGCAGUGAGAGGACGAGAGAGCAAAGAUCACACACACCGUGUUUCUGUCACUCUGGUAGUGUGUGCACGAUGACUCGCAGCAGAUCACCCCUCGUCCUUCUGUGGUUCAUUCACAGCACAAUCCCAGUUCUUGAGGCACAAAACCUUGAAGUGUUGCCUGAAGUGACGGGAUACCUCGGACAGGAUGUCACCCUGCAAUGCCAAUUCAUCCCGGGACCAAAACAUGACAAUAUCACCCUGAUUCAGUGGACGCUAAAUACAUCAGGAGGAUCAUUGUUUCGAAUGUUCAAUCAGUUGGUGUUCCCGACACAUUUUUGAAGGGUAGAGUGAAGUUAGCAGAACAAUCUUUGAUUAUUCAAGAUGUGGAAAUGGGAGAUGCAGGGUCGUACACCUGCACCGUUUCAUCUUUUCCCGGAGGAACGUUGGAAGGAACCACCGAACUUGUUGUUGAUGUUGUUGUUGUUGUUAAAGACGGGGUGCACAAAUCAGCAAAAAUAAUUACUGCUGGAGUAUUCUUUCUGAUAGUAGGGACUAUGCUGACCACCACUUUCUUCAUCAUCAGGAAAAGAUACGUUCCAGUGCCAAGUGAUUGAACGAGACGACGUGAGCUGGGAGAUGGUUUUCAGGCCACAUCUUUAAAUUGCCAAAGACAUUUUUUGAUUAGUUUGAACAUUUACACACAAAACAAGCCUUUGUUUAAAGGACUUAAUGCAAAUAACACAGCACUAAAGAGAGGUCUUUGAAAAACAUUCUCCAAUCUGUUGCUGUCAUAGAGGCAGGGGGCAGCAGGCCACAGUUCAAUGAUUCAUUUCCAAAAGUGAAAAUACAAAAAUGUACAGGCAUGGGAAGAAAGUCCAAACUGAUAAUCCUCAGGUAACUGGAGUGGGUCAGAAAAAGGUGCAGACUUCUUCAGGAAAAACUUCAAAGCAAAGACAUGAAGCACCAAACAUACUUACUAGCAUUGGACUGGGGGGGGGGGGGGGGAGGCUGGUCCUGCAGGGAUGAUCAGUGAAAGUGGAAACAGGUGAGUCAGGCGGGAAAGUCUGAGUUCGCUGUGCUCCCGUAAUUCGCCACAGGACGCUUCGCAAACGCUCUGACUGCGCAUGCUCAAACUUCGCUCAACACUACCACUCUGAUUUGAGAAGUUUUCCGAGACAAAUAUAAAGAUUAAAACUAUUGUUUGAAGGAGCAGUUAUGUAAGAAGAUUCCCCCUUAACAACAUAAAUCGUCUUUAAAUCAUUAAAAAGACUGCUAAAUGGCAUUACAUUACUGGCAAUUUAACGUGGUGUGGAUCAGUAACUGCGCAUGCGUAAGAAACACCAGACGCUGCGUAACCUUUUUUUUUCUUAGUUUAUGGCGCAAUAUUUCAUUCAGAAUUAAGGAACCAUUCAGUAGUCAAAAACAUUAAAUGGUGUUGAAUGGUGUUAUAAAGUACAACAUAACAAACACAUCUUACAUCAAACUAAAAGAUAAAAGAAACAAACAUGUCUUGGUUUAAUAAGGACUCCUUAAGGAAUAAGGACAGUUGUGUUACUCUGAGCUGAGAACAUUGGAGGAAUAAAAACACAUCAGGUUUUGGCUUUGUUACAUAUUCUUAAAAGGCUCAUUUUGUAUUUCUUAUUUGCUUUGUUGUUUUCAAUUUGUUAUGUUGAAAUUCAGUGCUUAAGACAUUUGAUUGUGACAACCAUCUGUGCUGUCGGAACACAUGAGAACAAAAUGAGUUUUUGGGAUGUGAAAAAAUACCAACAUAAGGCUUUAUGUUACAUUGCUUAUUUUGUUGUGCAGUGACAUCUGUUUUCUGUUUAAAUGAAGUGAUUUGUUUAUACUUUUGAGAUAAUUACUGUAAGUUCUGUUGCUGGUUUAUCAAAUCGUGCUUUAGAGCAGAAAUAGAAACUUCUGUAAAUAGUCUCUUCGCUUUAAAGCAGAACUUGUUGUUGUAAUUAUCUCUUGCUUAAUAAAGUUCGGCAACUCCUCA